CAGGUGCUAAAAUCUUAUGUGUCAAGGGCACUGUGAUGGCGCGAUCCAUGUCUCCUACGAGCGCUCGACAUCCCGUAGCCCCAAAGAGGGCUCCAAGGUUGGACAACAAGUUUCACUGGAUGAAAGCAUUUCCCUUCUAAAACAGAGUGUUGCUGACAUGAAUGCACAAGUUAGUCUUGAUACUAAGAUGGUCAUGGAAUUGCUUGAUCUAUGCUAGGUCAACAUGUCAGCCAACCACUUAAAAAUAAUCAAUUGCAUUUCUUCCUCUGAAAGAACCUUCCCCACUCGCUCCUGAACCUUAUAAUGUGCCUUUGUGUGUAUAUUUAAUCAUUCACGAAAACCUGAUUUCUA